UACGUAGGGUGCGAGCGUUGCCCGGAUUUACUGGGCGUAAAGGGCUCGUAGGCGGCCAACUAAGUCAGACGUGAAAUCCCUAGGCUCAACCUAGGAACUGCGUCUGAUACUGGAUGGCUUGAAUCCGGGAGAGGGAUGCAGAAUUCCAGGUGUAGCGGUGAAAUGCGUAGAUAUCUGGAGGAAUACCGGUGGCGAAGGCGGCAUCCUGGACCGGCAUUGACGCUGAGGUGCGAAAGCGUGGGGAGCAAACAGG
rnacentral:rRNA from 1 species